UUGUAAAUAUCAAAUACAGGUUUGUACAUGUCAUGUUUCUCAUUCCAUAUCUGGUAUUUCACAUUUUCUUACUAAUCGCUUCAAACAUCUGGAGUGUAAGAAAAGCUACAUAUGUAAAAAGGUAGGCAAGGCUUUACCUUCUCCUUGAAUGCUUCCAGCUCUGCAUCUGUAAUUUUCCAUGGAGUCUCUCGCUUUAAUUUCUCAGCAGUUGUUAUAUCUUUGCAGCUUUCAUGGAGACGAUAUGGUUCAAUCAUCUCUUCAAAGAAUUUCCAGCUGAAACAGGAAUUACAAAGGAGGCCUUGCUGCAGGAGCUCCCUGGAAGGCACAGCGAUGGUGGACGAAAUGAGGAUGCAGCGGGAGCACAGUCUGUAGAUCUUCCUGAUACCUGUGGGAGUUGCAUGCACAGCCAGAUGUAAUAGUCUCUGCAGGUGAAAAUUCUGAAAAUACAUGUCUGUGAACAAGCAUGGCUUCAGGUCUCAGAAGAGCAUGUUUAUCCUCAGAAUUAGCACUCUAACAGUUUUGGAGGAACCACUGCAAAGGGAGCUGAAUUACUUGCCAAACCCUAACACUGCAAAUCAAUGACAAAGCCGAAAAUGGAGCCUGGGUGUCAGUGUUGUUUAAAUAUAUAUUACAUUUGGCACAUAGACUUCAACUAAAUUUUGUGUCUUUGAAGUAAAACUGAGUAUAAGGAAAUGGAUAGUUUAAUUUUACCUGGAAGACUUUGGGUGCGCUGACAAGAGAUGCUAGAGCUGAUGACAGAGUAGCUGAAAAGAUGCCAGCUGUGAUGAGAGGACCAAAGCCAGACACCAUGCUCAUCACCUUUAUGAAGAAAAGAAGGUAAAAAGAAGAGUCAGCCAUCACCUUUAUGAAAAAAAAAGGUAAAAAGAAUAGUCAGGCUUACAUUUAGAUGCAGAUUU